UACGGAGGGGACUAGCGUUGUUCGGAAUUACUGGGCGUAAAGCGCACGUAGGCGGAUUUGUAAGUCAGUGGUGAAAUCCCGGGGCUCAACCUCGGAACUGCCUUUGAUACUGCAAAUCUCGAGUCCGGAAGAGGUGAGUGGAAUUCCUAGUGUAGAGGUGAAAUUCGUAGAUAUUCGGAAGAACACCAGUGGCGAAGGCGGCCAACUGGUCCGGCACUGACGCUGAGGUGCGAAAGCGUGGGGAGCAAACAGG
rnacentral:rRNA from 1 species